rnacentral:rRNA from 1 species
GUGGGGAAUCUUGCGCAAUGGGCGAAAGCCUGACGCAGCCAUGCCGCGUGAAUGAUGAAGGUCUUAGGAUUGUAAAAUUCUUUCACCGGGGACGAUAAUGACGGUACCCGGAGAAGAAGCUCCGGCUAACUUCGUGCCAGCAGCCGCGGUAAUACGAAGGGGGCUAGCGUUGCUCGGAAUUACUGGGCGUAAAGGGCGCGUAGGCGGACAGCUUAGUCAGAGGUGAAAGCCCAGGGCUCAACCUUGGAAUUGCCUUUGAUACUGGCUGUCUUGAGUUUGGGAGAGGUGAGUGGAACUCCGAGUGUGGAGGUGAAAUUCGUAGAUAUUCGGAAGAACACCAGUGGCGAAGGCGACUCACUGGCCCAAUACUGACGCUGAGGCGCGAAAGCGUGGGGAGCAAACAGGAUUAGAUACCCUUGUAGUCC